rnacentral:rRNA from 1 species
ACGUAGGGUGCGAGCGUUAAUCGGAAUUACUGGGCGUAAAGCGUGCGCAGGCGGUUUUGUAAGCCAGAUGUGAAAUCCCCGGGCUUAACCUGGGAAUGGCAUUUGGGACUGCAAGGCUUGAGUGCGGCAGAGGAGACUGGAAUUCCUGGUGUAGCAGUGAAAUGCGUAGAUAUCUGGAGGAACACCUGCGGCGAAGGCGGGUUGCUGGGCUGACACUGACGCUGAACUGCGAAAGCUAGGGGAGCGAACGGGA